GACGAACGCUGGCGGCGUGCUUAACACAUGCAAGUCGAACGGAAAGGCCCUGCUUUUGCUGGGUGCUCGAGUGGCGAACGGGUGAGUAACACGUGAGUAACCUGCCCUUGACUUUGGGAUAACUUCAGGAAACUGGGGCUAAUACCGGAUAGGAGCUCCUGCUGCAUGGUGGGGGUUGGAAAGUUUCGGCGGUUGGGGAUGGACUCGCGGCUUAUCAGCUUGUUGGUGGGGUAGUGGCUUACCAAGGCUUUGACGGGUAGCCGGCCUGAGAGGGUGACCGGCCACAUUGGGACUGAGAUACGGCCCAGACUCCUACGGGAGGCAGCAGUGGGGAAUAUUGCACAAUGGGCGGAAGCCUGAUGCAGCAACGCCGCGUGCGGGAUGACGGCCUUCGGGUUGUAAACCGCUUUCGCCUGUGACGAAGCGUGAGUGACGGUAAUGGGUAAAGAAGCACCGGCUAACUACGUG
rnacentral:rRNA from 1 species